rnacentral:rRNA from 1 species
AACGAACGCUGGCGGCAUGCCUAACACACGCAAGUCGAACGAGAUCUUCGGGUCUAGUGGCGCACGGGUGCGUAACGCGUGGGAAUCUGCCCUUUGGUUCGGAAUAACAGUUGGAAACGACUGCUAAUACCGGAUGAUGACGAAAGUCCAAAGAUUUAUCGCCAGAGGAUGAGCCCGCGUAGGAUUAGCUAGUUGGUGUGGUAAAGGCGCACCAAGGCGACGAUCCUUAGCUGGUCUGAGAGGAUGAUCAGCCACACUGGGACUGAGACACGGCCCAGACUCCUACGGGAGGCAGCAGUGGGAAUAUUGGUCAAUGGGCGAAAGCCUGAUCCAGCAAUGCCGCGUGAGUGAUGAAGGCCUUAGGGCUGUAAAGCUCUUUUACCCGGGAUGAUAAUGACAGUACCGGGAGAAUAAGCUCCGGCUAACUCCGUGCCAGUCGCCGCAGUAA